CCAGCAACUUGGAAGAAUGAAUGGCAAUAGCCAGUUACAUUAGAACUUUUUUUUUGUGAAAUCGACUCUGUCGAAUAAAGUUCUGGGUGGAGUAUUGAUAAUGACAAUCUCUAUCUGUGUGUCUUGACCAAAUUACGUGCCAGCAGUCGCGGUAAUACGUAAAAGACUAGUGUUAUUCAUCUUUAAUAGGUUUAAAGGGUACUUAGACGGUAAAUCAAGCCAAGACAGAAACGGUACUAAUUUACUUGAGUAUUAUGUGAGGCGCAUAAGGUUGUAUUCUUGAGAGAAGAGAUGAAAUUCUAUCAUCCGUUGAGGUUACGGGUAAAGGCGAAAGCGACCAUCUAUGUAAAUACUGACGUUGAAGGACGAAGGCCUACGGUCAUUAACAGGAUUAGAUACCCAAGUAUUCGUGGCAGACAAUGAUGAAUGUCAUAGACUAGAGAUAAAUUUUAGUCUAUAAAUGAAAGUGUAAGCAUUCCACCUCAAGAGUAAUUUGGCAACAUUGGAACUGAAAUCAUUAGACCGUUUCUGAAACCAGUAGUGAAGUAUGUUAUUUAAUUUGAUGAUCCGCAAAAAACCUUACCACAAUUUGUAUAUAUAGAUAAUUUUUACAAGCGUUGCACGGCUGUCUUCAGUUAAUGUCGUGAGAUUUUGGUUAGUUCCAUUAAAUUAACGUAAACCCUUACUUUGUUUUUAUAUAAAGUAGUUCCCCCACACAAUGGAAUUGAAAAUAGGGACUAAGAUAAGUC
rnacentral:rRNA from 1 species